UCAAUUUCAACUGGUUUACCAUUUUAAUAUUGAAGAUGGAAGAAAGAAACAACAUUUUCAGCAUAUUGUGCUUUAUUAUUUCAAGAAAGGUAAAAAUACAACUGAAACAUUAAAAAAAGAUUUGUGUAGUGUAUGGAAAAUGUGCUGUGACUGAUCAAAUGUG